rnacentral:rRNA from 1 species
UACCUGUGUGACUGCGUACCUUUUGUAUAAUGGGUCAGCGACUUAUAUUCUGUAGCAAGGUUAACCGUAUAGGGGAGCCGUAGGGAAACCGAGUCUUAACCGGGCGUUAAGUUGCAGGGUAUAGACCCGAAACCCGGUGAUCUAGCCAUGGGCAGGUUGAAGGUUGGGUAACACUAACUGGAGGACCGAACCGACUAAUGUUGAAAAAUUAGCGGAUGACCUGUGGCUGGGGGUGAAAGGCCAAUCAAACCGGGAGAUAGCUGGUUCUCCCCGAAAGCUAUUUAGGUAGCGCCUCGUGAAUUCAUCUCCGGGGGUAGAGCACUGUUUCGGCUAGGGGGCCAUCCCGGCUUACCAACCCGAUGCAAACUGCGAAUACCGGAGAAUGUUAUCACGGGAGACACACGGCGGGUGCUAACGUCCGUCGUGAAGAGGGAAACAACCCAGACCGCCAGCUAAGGUCCCAAAGUCAUGGUUAAGUGGGAAACGAUGUGGGAAGGCCCAGACAGCCAGGAUGUUGGCUUAGAAGCAGCCAUCAUUUAAAGAAAGCGUAAUAGCUCACUGGUCGAGUCGGCCUGCGCGGAAGAUGUAACGGGGCUAAACCAUGCACCGAAGCUGCGGCAGCGACACUGUGUGUUGUUGGGUAGGGGAGCGUUCUGUAAGCCUGUGAAGGUGGCCUGUGAGGGUUGCUGGAGGUAUCAGAAGUGCGAAUGCUGACAUAAGUAACGAUAAAGCGGGUGAAAAGCCCGCUCGCCGGAAGACCAAGGGUUCCUGUCCAACGUUAAUCGGGGCAGGGUGAGUCGACCCCUAAGGCGAGGCCGAAAGGCGUAGUCGAUGGGAAACGGGUUAAUAUUCCCGUACUUGGUGUUACUGCGAAGGGGGGACGGA